rnacentral:lncRNA from 1 species
AGGAAAGGGAAGCGAUUUGCAGAAGAAUGAAAACAAUGGAAGGAAACCCAGAGAAUGUCUUCUAUUUCGAAACAAGAACGGAGACAAACUGGUAAAUCCCUUCUAUCGAUUUGGAACAGAGAAGGCCUAAAAGAAAACACAGAGGUUGAAUCUCUCUUUUUCUUACCACAGAAGCGAUUUGCAGAAGAAUGAAAACAAUGGAAGGAAAUCCAGAGAGUCUCUUCUUCUUAAUCUUGAAAACAAGAAUGG